UCCGUAGGUGAACCUGCGGAAGGAUCAUUAACAAAUCUGCUUGGUCUAGCUAGCUAGUGCAGUAAUGUGCUAGCUAGCAGAUCACAUUGACUCGGGCUCGGCUGCACUUGUGUAGCCGGGCUUAGAGACAUUCACGCUUGUUGGGUUUGACUGAGUCAUUAUGUGCCAAAAUAAAUACAACUUUUAACAAUGGAUCUCUUGGCUCUUGCAACGAUGAAGAACGCAGUAAAGUGCGAUAUCUAAUGUGAUUUGCAUGAAUCUGUGAGUCAUCAAGUCUUUGAACGCAACUUGCACCUCUUGGGUCAACUAAGAGGUAUGUCUGUUUGAGAACCUUAUCCAUCUUGUCUCUAGCUAGAGGCAGAAUUGGGGUCGCAGCUCGCAAGAGGUGGACCUUGAAAUGCAGCAUGGAAAGGGCAUCAGUGACCUUGGCUAUGUGCUAGAGAUCGAUUAAUUGGUCUUGUCAUAGCCUUGGCUACUGAGGCUCGCUCGCUUGUCGAGCACUCUUUCAAUUAGGUCUCAAAUCAGGCAGGAUUACCCGCUGAACUUAAGCAUAUCAAUAAGGCGGGAGGGGAAGGUCGGACUGGCCAAGGGCACACAGGGGGGGAUA
rnacentral:rRNA from 1 species